rnacentral:lncRNA from 10 species
UUUUGCUUGUUUUAGUUUUAUCAUUACAACUUUUGAGUUUUCCAGAUAUUCUAUCAUGUUAUCUACAAAUAGAGUUUUACUUUUUUCCCUGUCAAUUUGUAUUCCUCUAAUAGUUUUCUCUUGUCUAGUUGUAUUGAUUAAUAUCUCGAUUGUGUUAAAUAAUAGUAGUGGAUAUAUAGGCUUCUUUGCCUUUUUUCUGAUCUCAUGUGUUUAUCUAUUAAGAUGCUGACUUUCCUAAUAUGUACAUUUAUUAUAUAUGUUUACAUCCUUAUAUAUACAUUUAUUGUAUUAAAAUGAAUUCUUACAUUGGCAUUGUGUGGAAAGUUAAAAAGACAAGGAAAAGGCCCGGCACGGUGGCUCAUGCCUGUAAUCCCAGCACUUUGGGAGGCCGAGGCGGGCAGAUCACGAGGUCAGGAGUUCGAGACCAGCCUGGCCAACAUGGUGAAACCCCGUCUUUACUAAAAAUACAAAAAUUAGCCAGGCAUGGUGGGUGCCUGUAAUCACAGCUACUAAGGAGGCUGAGGUAGGAGAAUCACUUGAACCCAGGAGGCUAAAUUUUGUAUUUUUAGUAGAGAUGGAGUUUUGCCAUGUUGGCCAGGCUGGUCUCGAACUCCCGACCUCAGGUGAUCCACCUGUCUCGGCCUCCCAAAGUGCUGGGAUUACAGGCCUGAGCCACUGUGCCCAGCCAAUUGUCCUCUAUUUUUAUAACACCGUAUUAAUACCGGAUGAGCAAGAAUUAUAUUGGAAGUCUGUACUCCAGAGGGUGAGAACUUAAACCUCAUGAAGAUUCAGGAGCUUGCACAUUAGUGGAUUUGUAAGGACCCAGUGGUCUAGGGUCUGUCAUCCCCUCCAAAGUAAAAGGUAAAUCUUUUGCAGUGGCCUUAUCAACCUCUUUCCCCUUUCAAAAUUCUACUUUCCCCUCUGAAUAGCUGGUACGAUGUGAGUGUCUUCUUAUAAGUGUCUGAUGUAAACUGGGUGAGGAUCAGGAUCAAUCUAUAUGUGAAAUAUUAGCAAAACUUUGAAAAAUUUUUGAUGACAUGGAUAAAAGAAAACCAAAAGCUCUAAUAUUUUCUUCUUGUAUUCCAGUGGAUUGACUUUUGAG